UAAGUAAGUCAGACAGUCGCACGCACAUGGCCGAAAGGUAGUGCUUGAGGAACGUCCGGGCUCCACAGAGCAAGGUGCUGGGUAAUACCCAGUGGAGGCGACUCUAAGGAAAGUGCAACAGAAAUAAACCACCUAUCACUUGAUAGGAAAGGGUGGAAAGGCGAGGUAAGAGCUCACCGUCCCUUAGGUGACUAAGGGAGCCAUGUAAACCCCACCUGGAGCAAGACCGUAUAGAAAGACGUUAAUAGCUGCUCGCUAGUCUUUGGGUAGGUCGCUAGAGCUUAUAGGUAACUAUAGGCGUAGAUAGAUGACUGUUUGAUACAGAACCCGGCUUAUAGACUUGGUUAACAA
rfam:Clostridium lentocellum DSM 5427, complete genome.